rnacentral:lncRNA from 1 species
GCUAGAUGGCGCCACAUAUCCAGCCUGUCACAGGCCUUAGGCCUCUCACGCUCACGGCUUCGGUAUCCUAGGUCGCUCUACCCUCGGUAAUCCGGCUGAAACAAGGUGAUCGCACUUUGAGUGGC